rnacentral:rRNA from 1 species
GACGAACGCUGGCGGCGUGCUUAACACAUGCAAGUCGAACGGUAAGGCCCUUCGGGGUACACGAGUGGCGAACGGGUGAGUAACACGUGGGUGAUCUGCCCUGCACUUCGGGAUAAGCCUGGGAAACUGGGUCUAAUACCGGAUAGGACCACUGCCUGCAUGGGGGGUGGUGGAAAGCUUUUGUGGUGUGGGAUGGGCCCGCGGCCUAUCAGCUUGUUGGUGGGGUGAUGGCCUACCAAGGCGACGACGGGUAGCCGGCCUGAGAGGGUGACCGGCCACACUGGGACUGAGAUACGGCCCAGACUCCUACGGGAGGCAGCAGUGGGGAAUAUUGCACAAUGGGCGCAAGCCUGAUGCAGCGACGCCGCGUGAGGGAUGACGGCCUUCGGGUUGUAAACCUCUUUCAGCACCGACGAAGCGCAAGUGACGGUAGGUGCAGAAGAAGGACCGGCCAACUACGUGCCAGCAGCCGCAGUAA